rnacentral:rRNA from 1 species
UACGUAGGGGGCUAGCGUUGUCCGGAAUCAUUGGGCGUAAAGCGCGUGUAGGCGGCAGCGUGUGUCGGGCGUGAAAUCCCAUGGCUUAACCAUGGAAGUGCACCCGAAACUGCGCAGCUAGAGUCCUGGAGAGGAAGAUGGAAUACUUGGUGUAGAGGUGAAAUUCGUAGAUAUCAAGUGGAACACCGGUGGCGAAGGCGGUCUUCUGGACAGUGACUGACGCUGAGACGCGAAAGCGUGGGGAGCAAACAGG